GGUCAAGUGAAGAAGCGCAUACGGUGGAUGCCUUGGCAGUCAGAGGCGAUGAAAGACGUGGUAGCCUGCGAAAAGCUUCGGGAGUCGGCAAACAGACUUUGAUCCGGAGAUCUCUGAAUGGGGAACCCACCUAGGAUAACCUAGGUAUCUUGUACUGAAUCCAUAGGUGCAAGAGGCGAACCAGGGAACUGAAACAUCUAAGUACCCUGAGGAAAAGAAAUCAACCGAGAUUCCCUUAGUAGUGGCGAGCGAACGGGGAUUAGCCCUUAAGCUUCAUUGAUUUUAGCGGAACGCUCUGGAAAGUGCGGCCAUAGUGGGUGAUAGCCCCGUACGCGAAAGGAUCUUUGAAGUGAAAUCGAGUAGGACGGAGCACGAGAAACUUUGUCUGAACAUGGGGGGACCAUCCUCCAAGGCUAAAUACUACUGACUGACCGAUAGUGAACCAGUACCGUGAGGGAAAGGCGAAAAGAACCCCGGAGAGGGGAGUGAAAUAGAACCUGAAACCGUAUGCGUACAAGCAGUGGGAGCCUACUUGUUAGGUGACUGCGUACCUUUUGUAUAAUGGGUCAGCGACUUAUAUUCAGUGGCAAGCUUAACCGUAUAGGGUAGGCGUAGCGAAAGCGAGUCUUAAUAGGGCGUUUAGUCGCUGGGUAUAGACCCGAAACCGGGCGAUCUAUCCAUGAGCAGGUUGAAGGUUAGGUAACACUGACUGGAGGACCGAACCCACUCCCGUUGAAAAGGUAGGGGAUGACUUGUGGAUCGGAGUGAAAGGCUAAUCAAGCUCGGAGAUAGCUGGUUCUCCUCGAAAGCUAUUUAGGUAGCGCCUCAUGUAUCACUCUGGGGGGUAGAGCACUGUUUCGGCUAGGGGGUCAUCCCGACUUACCAAACCGAUGCAAACUCCGAAUACCCAGAAGUGCCGAGCAUGGGAGACACACGGCGGGUGCUAACGUCCGUCGUGAAAAGGGAAACAACCCAGACCGCCAGCUAAGGUCCCAAAGUUGUGGUUAAGUGGUAAACGAUGUGGGAAGGCUUAGACAGCUAGGAGGUUGGCUUAGAAGCAGCCAUCCUUUAAAGAAAGCGUAAUAGCUCACUAGUCGAGUCGGCCUGCGCGGAAGAUGUAACGGGGCUCAAACCACACACCGAAGCUGCGGGUGUCACGUAAGUGACGCGGUAGAGGAGCGUUCUGUAAGCCUGUGAAGGUGAGUUGAGAAGCUUGCUGGAGGUAUCAGAAGUGCGAAUGCUGACAUGAGUAACGACAAUGGUGUGAAAAACACCCACGCCGAAAGACCAAGGGUUCCUGCGCAACGUUAAUCGACGCAGGGUUAGUCGGUUCCUAAGGCGAGGCUGAAAAGCGUAGUCGAUGGGAAACAGGUUAAUAUUCCUGUACUUCUGGUUACUGCGAUGGAGGGACGGAGAAGGCUAGGCCAGCUUGGCGUUGGUUGUCCAAGUUUAAGGUGGUAGGCUGAAAUCUUAGGUAAAUCCGGGGUUUCAAGGCCGAGAGCUGAUGACGAGUCGUCUUUUAGAUGACGAAGUGGUUGAUGCCAUGCUUCCAAGAAAAGCUUCUAAGCUUCAGGUAACCAGGAACCGUACCCCAAACCGACACAGGUGGUCGGGUAGAGAAUACCAAGGCGCUUGAGAGAACUCGGGUGAAGGAACUAGGCAAAAUGGCACCGUAACUUCGGGAGAAGGUGCGCCGGCUAGGGUGAAGGAUUUACUCCGUAAGCUCUGGCUGGUCGAAGAUACCAGGCCGCUGCGACUGUUUAUUAAAAACACAGCACUCUGCAAACACGAAAGUGGACGUAUAGGGUGUGACGCCUGCCCGGUGCCGGAAGGUUAAUUGAUGGGGUUAGCGCAAGCGAAGCUCUUGAUCGAAGCCCCGGUAAACGGCGGCCGUAACUAUAACGGUCCUAAGGUAGCGAAAUUCCUUGUCGGGUAAGUUCCGACCUGCACGAAUGGCGUAACGAUGGCGGCGCUGUCUCCACCCGAGACUCAGUGAAAUUGAAAUCGCUGUGAAGAUGCAGUGUAUCCGCGGCUAGACGGAAAGACCCCGUGAACCUUUACUGUAGCUUUGCACUGGACUUUGAGCCUGCUUGUGUAGGAUAGGUGGGAGGCUUUGAAGCGUGGACGCCAGUUCGCGUGGAGCCAUCCUUGAAAUACCACCCUGGCAUGCUUGAGGUUCUAACUCUGGUCCGUGAUCCGGAUCGAGGACAGUGUAUGGUGGGCAGUUUGACUGGGGCGGUCUCCUCCUAAAGAGUAACGGAGGAGUACGAAGGUGCGCUCAGACCGGUCGGAAAUCGGUCGCAGAGUAUAAAGGCAAAAGCGCGCUUGACUGCGAGACAGACACGUCGAGCAGGUACGAAAAGGUCUUAGUGAUCCGGUGGUUCUGUAUGGAAGGGCCAUCGCUCAACGGAUAAAAGGUACUCCGGGGAUAACAGGCUGAUACCGCCCAAGAGUUCAUAUCGACGGCGGUGUUUGGCACCUCGAUGUCGGCUCAUCACAUCCUGGGGCUGAAGCCGGUCCCAAGGGUAUGGCUGUUCGCCAUUUAAAGUGGUACGCGAGCUGGGUUUAGAACGUCGUGAGACAGUUCGGUCCCUAUCUGCCGUGGACGUUUGAGAUUUGAGAGGGGCUGCUCCUAGUACGAGAGGACCGGAGUGGACGAACCUCUGGUGUUCCGGUUGUCACGCCAGUGGCAUUGCCGGGUAGCUAUGUUCGGAAAAGAUAACCGCUGAAAGCAUCUAAGCGGGAAACUUGCCUCAAGAUGAGAUCUCACUGGGAACUUGAUUCCCCUGAAGGGCCGUCGAAGACUACGACGUUGAUAGGCUGGGUGUGUAAGCGUUGUGAGGCGUUGAGCUAACCAGUACUAAUUGCCCGUGAGGCUUGACCAU
rnacentral:rRNA from 1 species